UGUGUCACUCCUUUCCAGGAGAGUUUUUUUUCUGUUAUCACUUUGUAUAUAUACAUAGUGAAUUGUUAAUGAAUUUGGUAAAUUUAUUUCAUGGCUGUUGAUUCUAUUUCCAUCAUCUGGUAUUCGCCUCUCGAUUUCGUGAAAAUAUUCCAGUUACAUAUACACAAUAGAGGAGCCGAUAACACAUUAUCUAAAAUAAUAUCACUACAGGUUGGACCUACAGGGGGCUAACACCGAUAAGUGUGGUGUUAUCCAGUUUGUUUUUGAAGCUGUUUAGUGUUUUGGAAGUAAUGAUGUUCUUGCAUGUUUGGGUAUAUUUUCAGUGAGUUAGUUCUUGUCCUGGAUCUCUCGGAGGUAUCAGACCACAUCCUUAUAAACUGUGUAGCCCCCUCAUCAUAUUUUCCUCUAACUGCCUUGUACAUCAUAUCACCUCGAAAACGCCUGUAGGUUAGGGUUGGCAGUUUCAGCAUCUUUAAUCUUUCCGAAUACAACAGAUUUCCCAUUCCAGAUAGUUGUUUUGUUGCCUUCCUUUGGACACCUUCCAGUUGCUCAAUAUGUUUCAUCUUGUAGAGUUUCCAAACAACACUGGCAUAUUCUAAGUGGGUUCUUCCAAGUGUUUUGUAGAGUGUGGUAAAUAACUCAGAGUUAAGAAACUUGAAUGUUCUUCUGAUCAUGCCAAACAUUGAUGUUGGCUUUUGUAUCUUUUCACUGAUAUGGUUGUCAAAGAUUAGUUCUUUGUUGAAAAUUACUCCAAGAUCUUUCACUUCUUCAACAUCUCCAAGGGUUGUGUUGUUCAGUACGUAGGUGGUGUUUUCUGUUUUAUGAUUUUCAAUGUGCAUGAACUUAAACUUAUCUUCAUUAAAUGAAAGCAGCCAUGUUUCCUUCAGACUUAAUAACUUGGAACAUUUUCGUGUCAUCUGCAAAUAAGUAUGCAGUUGAGUCCACCUUCUCUGGCAAGUCAUUUAUGUAAAUGACGAACAAGAUAUGUAAAUGAAAUGUGAGAUGUAAACUUAAGAUAUAUUUGAUAACUAAAUAGAUUUCCCAGCUAUACCUAUAUAUAGCUAAUUAUAUCAUCUAAUUCUUCAUACUAAGUCUCUAUAUACCUAUAGAUAGCUAAUUCUAUCAUCUAAUUCUUUAUACUAAGUCACUAUAUACCUAUAUAUAGUUUAUUCUAUCAUCUAAUUCUUUAUACUAAGUCACUUUUAGAACUAACAUAUAAUACAAUAACAUUUCAAUAGACACGGUGAUAUGUGAUAAUGGAAAACUUUGUGGCGACCUUGACCCUAAACUAAAAGCACACGUGCUGAUAUAAGUUAUAUAACUGACCUAUAAUGAUUCUUAAUGGUCGGUAUCUUGAUAUUUAAAAUGUUUCUUGUCCAUUGAAAUUCACUGGAAAGCGCAAAUAAUUUCCUGUCCAAACUCUAUAAUAAUUCAUGAAAUUUCUGUAUAAGUAAUAUUCAUAUGUAGAGUGCAUGUAUAUACUGUUAUAUUUUGUAAGGAAAGGGCUUAUAUAGGCUUUGCCUGUUGCCCAAUUCCUUUUGUACAUACGAUCAGUUCAAUAAAAUAUUCUGAAAUGAAAUGAAAUGGUCAGUAUGACAACUGACCUUGGUGGAGACGUAGGCUGUGGCGCCAGACUGACCUAUCUGUCCAGCUAAACUGGAAACGUUGAUGAUGUUGCCUUUGGUUUUUCUCAGAUAUGGCAAAGCAAUCUUAAAUAAAGAACAUUUUCAGUAGUAAACAUUCCAUACAUAAUAUCUAACAUUUAAUGUUAUUGGAUCUGGAUAACAAGAGACCCGUGGGGACUGUAUCACUCAUCUAGGUUUUUUGUUUGGGUGACAAUACUUCAUCCAAACUAAAGGAUAAUGAAUUCUCAAUUUCCAAGCACACAACACACAUUAUAUAUAUUUGUACAUUGGGUCUUAAAUUUGGGCAAAAUCCAACCAUUCCUGUAGAAUUUUAAAGAAUUUUCUCUAUUUACCCCAUUAGACCCCGCUCCUUCCGCCCCAGGAGGCCUAGACCCACCAUUUAUACAAACUUUGAUUAUUUUCCCAAAGUAUGCUUCUGACUAAAUUUGGUCAAAUUCUGCAGUCAUCCAUAUCUAGGAGCGAUUUCUAGAAAAAAAGUUGAAGAACGUACGAAGGAAGGACGACUGACCCUGCACCAUGACAUAGGACUAGAUCAGAGAUAUCUUUAAUUGCGGUUUACCUUGGAGAACAGGAAAAUACCGACAAGAUUCACAUCCAAUAGUCGGCGGAAGUCAUCCCCAGAUAUCUCAUCUAUGGACGUGCGUGGGGGAUCUACCAGAGAAAAAGGCGUGUUGAUGGAUAUAGGGUGUUGAUUUCACGGAAGCGUUACACGUGAAGGGAAAUGGACAGGACAGAAAAGCCCACAUUUGUCUCUUCACGUGCGCAAACACGCGUGCUGUUCAUCUCGAACUAGUGAUGGAUUUAUCCGAAGAAACUUUGUUGUAAGCAU